CGGAAGUAGUUCAGUGGUAGAACAUCACCUUGCCAAGGUGGGGGUCGCGGGUUCGAACCCCGUCUUCCG
rnacentral:tRNA from 2 species